rnacentral:lncRNA from 1 species
GGAAGUGAGUGGGUUGCAUUUCGGUAAAUGGUUGGUAAGCAUAAUCCUUUCCUUCCCAUCCCGCAAAUAAUCUCACCGAUAAUCUGUGAGAAACGUCAUUUACCAGUCCAUUUCUCUCGGGAUCUCCAUCCUGACAGCGAGAGAAGCUCUCGUCAACACAGCAAACUGAGGCAAUUGUGGCGCGGCACAUGAGGAUUGUAUUGCAUGUGUUAACUGGGAGAAGGAAGACGCCUACCCAUCAUUCAAGAAUGAAACACUGACAAACACUGACACUGACAUCAGUCAUCAGGCACUGACAAAGUGAAUGCACAAGAACGAUAAGCAGCAUCGACAAGAGCUCAUGAGGCUGGCCAAGCAGAUGGUGUACGCAGUACGCACCAUCGGAGCGUGGCCUCGCGGAGGCCAUGGAGACGCUGCAGGGUCGGUGGGGUGCCCUCUACCCGCGGUUCAUCGCCUACCAGCAGGCGCUGUUUGAUCGGCGGCAGGAGUGGGCCCUGUGCUUCAGGGCUGGCCUCCCGACACGGGGCCACAACACAAAUAAUACCGUGGAGGCUGCCAUGAGGGUUCUCAAGGACAACGUCCUCCACCGGACUCGGCUCUAGGACGUCCUCCAGCUCCACGACGUAGUCAGCCUCAGACUGAGCGACUUCUACGAGCGAAAGCUCGUAAGCUUCGCCAGUGGACGGCGACCACCGGCUGCCCGUCAGGGAGGCUCCCGAAGCAGCGCUGUGAGCGUCCCACGGGACCGCAUCACUCCCGACGGGGAGAACCCGGGCAUCUACAGCGUGCUGUCCACAGACGGCAGCACCCUGUACACCGUGGACAGCACCCUGGACAUGUGCACCUGUCCGGGGUAUGUCGGGGGCGGCAGGUGUAAGCACCUUGACGCCGUCAAGGCCCUCGACAGCGGCACGGCCGAUGACUCUGCAACUGCAGACACUGCGAGCGUCGAGGACAGGAAGCUGAUGUACUUCGUGGCGACAGGUCGACAAGAUAUGUCUCCCGACUGGUUUGCGGACCUGAGGACUCCCGGUCCGGAACCAGCGCUGCGCCCAACCACCGUCGCAGAAGACGCUGCCCCGUCCCCAGAGCCCGCCGAUGGUGGAGGAGCAUCAGACAGCGGCGACGAUUUCACCAGUCGCCCGCUAGUGGCACUGGCCAGCUCGUCUAGAGUAACGGCUCCCGACCCACUUGAAGAGGUGCGCCAGUCACUGGCAGCCUUCUCCGAGGCGGUCUCUGCAGCGGUCCUGGAGGACACCGCUGCGCACCCGGACCAGGGACCGUCUUGGCAGAAACAGGCUGCGGAGUCGGAGUCGGAGUCGGAGUCGGUCGGAGUCGACAGUUGUGACUGGAGUCGGAGUCGGAGUCGGAGUCGAUUUUAGAAACCCGAGCCGGAGUCGGAGUCGGAGUCACCGAAAAUCUGUCGACUCCGCAGCGCUGCUAGGUCUGCGGAGUCGGAGUCGGGAGUUGGAGUCGGUUGGACUCGACAAUUCUGCCCGGAGUCGGAGUCGGAGUCGGAGCUGGUUUUUGAAAGCCGGAGUCGGAGUCGGAGUCGGAGUCGCCGAAAAUCCAUCGACUCCGCAGCCCUGGGCAGAAGGCAUUGAACGCUUUCGUCGCCGACUGGAGGAAAGGCGCGACGCCCACAGCUCGGCAGAGCCAGCUGUACGCCCAACGCCACCUGGGAAAGGCGCGCUACGCCACCACCAUCCCGGUGCUGCGUCCGGAGCGUCGGACCAGCUGUCCCCUCCGAGGCCGCGCCCGAGUCAGCGCUGGGCGACCUCCCAAGGCAGACCGCGCUGACCACCCCUACCAGCGAGCGGAGGGCCAGCGGCGAGCUGCAGCGCCACACAGCCUGCAGACUCGGAUCGAGACCAACCGCGGUCCGGGUCACUAGUUCUGCCACUAGUAGACUCUCACUGGGCGCGAGGAGCGUGACGUCAAGGCCAUAAGCAUACAGGUUAGUCGAGGUUGGCGUCACCAUUGCGACACUAGAUUUUGGAAUAUACUAUUUUCUUUCUUGGUCCUAAACCAGAAAGUACAUCAAAGUUCGUUUUUGAAAUGUUUUAGUAGCUGUUACCCGUUAAAAAUAACGUGAAAAUACGAAAUGUUUGUGUUUUAUAUCAUACUUAUGCAUCACCCACCCCAUAAAGUCAUCAAUAGCAUGAUUUAUUGUGACCUGAAUAAAACACCAGUUUUCCCAUAGCAUCCCAUGCUAGAGCCGGCUCCGCGUCGCAAUGCUGACGUCACAGCAGACGAUGCCACUGAACUUUCGUGCGUGCGACUUGUCUGUCGGAGCAGCAUGUGCGACAAUGUGGUCUGGCUGGGGUGACUUCCCACCAGGUGCAGCGGCUCGUGCCCUGGCCGCCGGCUAGUGAACAGAGACCCCUGUGCGGUUCCCACGAUAUAGCGCUUGGUUUCGUAGGUGGGGCUUGUAGGCUAAUGAUGGGCACGACCGGGUGCUGUAUGCUAUAUGUGGUGACAGCGGCGUUCCUGAGCGUAGGGUGUGUCUCUUGCUCUGAAGUCCAGAAGUCCUUAUCGUUCUUGUGCAUUCACUUUGUCGGUGCCUGAUGUCAGUGUCAGUGUUUGUCAGUGUUUCAUUCUGUAGCAGACAUGCAGUCAUAUUUGGUUAAAUAGAACCUUGCAGUCUGA